ACAGCCCCAGAGUGUGAAAGAAGAUAGCCGGAAAUGUCCAAAGCAGUUAAGAGGGCGAACAGAUUUUGUCUAAAAAGAUAAGGCAGCUAAACAGAGGGUGAGAAGACAUGAGCCAAAUUUACACACACAAAUAGUGGAAAUAAUCUCUGAGAAUCCAAUUUGGGAAGAAGUGAGGGAGAUAAUAGUGCUCUGAGUGCCUAGUGAUGAGAGAACAAAGAGGUUAACGAUGCCUGAGAGACGGGAUCAGCAAUGUUUCCAAGGUGUCAUGGAAGAGUGUGCUGGCAAUAGGACAGAAAAUAUUUAAAAAAACGAUCCAUGGGACAGUCUAACAUAACAAAGGGAAUUAUUCAUCAAGAAGAGGCCCUUUAGCCGGGUAUUUAAAGUGCCCAGGUACUUACAAUAACAAGUUGGACUGAACACAUUGUAUCUCAGGAAUUAAGAAUUUUUCCUAAAAGAAGGUUUCUCAGGAUUCAUUUCAUUGUAUAAAGUAGGAAGAAAAUUUGGCAACAUUAAGUUUACCAUUCCACCACGGUUACAUAUGUUGCUAUUAAAAGGAAUGGCUACAAUGAACAAAGAAAUGAAAACAUAUUCUUGAAGAUCUAUAUUGUAUGGGACUGUUAAGAUGAAGUAACACUGAAUUUAAAUAUGUUUCUUUUUUUCUUAUGGACCUUUGAGUAGAAUAAAAUUC
rnacentral:sRNA from 1 species